rnacentral:rRNA from 1 species
AGUGAACGCUGGCGGUAGGCCUAACACAUGCAAGUCGAACGGCAGCACAGUAAGAGCUUGCUCUUACGGGUGGCGAGUGGUGGACGGGUGAGGAAUACAUCGGAAUCUACUUUUUCGUGGGGGAUAACGUAGGGAAACUUACGCUAAUACCGAAUACGACCUACGGGUGAAAGCAGGGGAUCUUCGGACCUUGCGCGAUUGAAUGAGCCGAUGUCGGAUUAGCUAGUUGGCGGGGUAACGGCCCACCAAGGCGACGAUCCGUAGCUGAUCUGAGAGGAUGAUCAGCCACACUGGAACUGAGACACGGUCCAGACUCCUACGGGAGGCAGCAGUGGGGAAUAUUGGACAAAGGGCGCAAGCCUGAUCCAGCCAUACCGCGUGGGUGAAGAAGGCCUUCGGGUUGUAAAGCCCUUUUGUUGGGAAAGAAAAGCAGCAGGUUAAUACCCCGCUGUUCUGACGGUACCCAAAGAAUAAGCACCGGCUAACUUCGUG